UACAGAGGGUGCAAGCGUUGUUCGGAAUUAUUGGGCGUAAAGGGUGCGUAGGCGGGUCUUUAAGUCAGGGGUGAAAUCCUGGAGCUCAACUCCAGAACUGCCUUUGAUACUGAAGAUCUUGAGUUCGGGAGAGGUGAGUGGAACUGCGAGUGUAGAGGUGAAAUUCGUAGAUAUUCGCAAGAACACCAGUGGCGAAGGCGGCUCACUGGCCCGAUACUGACGCUGAUGCACGAAAGCGUGGGGAGCAAACAGG
rnacentral:rRNA from 1 species